rnacentral:rRNA from 1 species
UACAGAGGGGGCAAGCGUUGUUCGGAAUUACUGGGCGUAAAGGGCGCGUAGGCGGCCUUCUAAGUCGAACGUGAAAUCCCCGGGCUCAACCCGGGAACUGCGUCCGAUACUGGAAGGCUUGAAUCCGGGAGAGGGAUGUGGAAUUCCAGGUGUAGCGGUGAAAUGCGUAGAUAUCUGGAGGAACACCGGUGUCGAAGGCGACAUCCUGGACCGGUAUUGACGCUGAGGCGCGAAAGCCAGGGGAGCAAACGGG